CGUCCGUUCAAUCCAAUCGUGCGUUCAAGAUCUGCUGCCAAGAUAAAGCCGCUCUCAUCCCUUCCGGCCAGCAAUGGAUGUUCGACGAUCUCACUGGACCUGUAAGAAAUAUCAAUUUUGUUUCAAUUGCAAAUAAAUUGUUUUAUUUUAUUUUUUGAAUUUUUAUUUAUGGGAUAAUGCUGGUCCAUUUCUGUAAUUUUAAAUGUUAAGAACGAACUAGGGCACUUUUAUUACUUGCUUAGGUCGUGUUUGCAAAAGCUUAUUUUAAAAGCGGAAAUUAUAGAUUACGAGUUAAGUUGAUUUUUAAGUGCUUAUUUCUAAAAGUUGGGGGUGUUUGCAAAUUAACUGGAAAAUCAACUAAAAUAGAAAAAACAGGUGCAUAGGUGCUUUUAAAAUUAUAGCUUAAAACAGCUUAUUUUAAGAGAAGUUUUUUGCAGACGCCUAAAAACAAAUUAUGUGCUGAAAAAAGCUCAUAAUCUAUUUCUAAAAGCAUUUGCAAACACCACCUAAAAGCAAAAGCAAAAGCUCAUUUUGCAAACACUUAAAAAAUAGAUUACGUGCAAAAAAAAAGCUCAUAAUCUAUUUGUAAAAACUUUUGCAAACACCACCUUAAUGUAAAGUUUUGGAACUGGAUUUAUUUGCUAUUGCAAUGCCCUAUGAAAGUUAAAGAAUGUGUUCGACACGUUGAACUGUUAACUGAUAAUUACUUCGAUAAUCGCAUGGUGUUUCGUAUUUUACUUAUGUACUCUGUCGAUAUUUGAAAGCUGUGUUAUCUCAAUAAGUAUAUGGGAGUUAUCUGAAUGGACAGUGAAAGAAUGAACUCACUCUCGGCCCGAAAUUUUAUUUUCCGAGAAACGGCUUAGUAUGUGAAUGUGGUUGAAGUUCUUUAAAGUCAAGACGGUAUAAUAUAUAUAUAUAUAUAUAUAUAUAUAUAUAUAUAUAUAUAUAUAUAUAUAUAUAUAUAUAUAUAUAUAUAUAUAUAUAUAUUAUACUUACAUUUGCUUCGUAUUGCAGGACGUUUGGAAUAAAACAUGGUACCCGAAAGCAGCGGACCAUGUAAACACAGAUAAGCCGUGGUAUGUAGUGGAUGCAACAGACAAGAUACUAGGAAGACUCGCUUCGACGAUCGCCAUUCAUAUCAGGGGAAAGAAUC
rnacentral:lncRNA from 1 species